rnacentral:rRNA from 1 species
UACGAAGGGGGCUAGCGUUGCUCGGAAUCACUGGGCGUAAAGCGCACGUAGGCGGCUUUUUAAGUCAGGGGUGAAAUCCUGGAGCUCAACUCCAGAACUGCCUUUGAUACUGAGAGCUUGAGUUCGGGAGAGGUGAGUGGAACUGCGAGUGUAGAGGUGAAAUUCGUAGAUAUUCGCAAGAACACCAGUGGCGAAGGCGGCUCACUGGCCCGAUACUGACGCUGAGGCACGAAAGCGUGGGGAGCAAACAGG